rnacentral:rRNA from 1 species
UACGUAGGGUGCGAGCGUUAUUCGGAAUUACUGGGCGUAAAGCGUGCGCAGGCGGUUUUGUAAGUCAGAUGUGAAAUCCCCGGGCUUAACCUGGGAAUGGCAUUUGGGACUGCAAGGCUAGAGUACGGCAGAGGAGACUGGAAUUCCUGGUGUAGCAGUGAAAUGCGCAGAUAUCAGGAGGAACACCGAUGGCGAAGGCAGGUCUCUGGGCCACUACUGACGCUGAGAAGCGAAAGCAUGGGGAGCGAACAGG